rnacentral:rRNA from 1 species
AUUGAACGUUGGCGGCAGGCCUAAAACAUGCAAGUCGAACGGUAACAGCGAGAGCUUGCUCUCGGCUGACAAGUGGCGAACGGGUGAGUAACACGUAGGAAUCUGCCCAAUAGUGGGGGACGAACCCGGGAAACCCGGGCGUAAUACCGCAUACGCCCUCCUUAUCGGAAGAUAGGGGAGGAAAGCGGGGAGUCUUCGGACCUCGCGCUAUUGGAGGAGCCUGCGUCGGAUUAGCUAGUUGGUAGGGUAAGGCCUACCAAGGCGACGAUCCGUAGCUGGUCUGAGAGGACGAUCAGCCACACUGGAACUGAGACACGGUCCAGACUCCUACGGGAGGCAGCAGUUAGGAAUCUUGGGCAAUGGGCGCAAGCCUGACCCAGCCAUGCCGCGUGUGUGAAGAA